AACUGAAGAGUUUGAUCAUGGCUCAGAUUGAACGCUGGCGGCAGGCUUAACACAUGCAAGUCGAGCGGGGGAAGGUAGCUUGCUACUGGACCUAGCGGCGGACGGGUGAGUAAUGCUUAGGAAUCUGCCUAUUAGUGGGGGACAACAUCUCGAAAGGGAUGCUAAUACCGCAUACGUCCUACGGGAGAAAGCAGGGGAUCUUCGGACCUUGCGC
rnacentral:rRNA from 1 species